GUGGAAAGUCAUCGAGGUAGGACGUGUGUUGUUCGCUCCGGCUUCAGUGAUUCGACUACGCAUUUAUUGCACCUGGUUUGGCCAAUAUAAAAGGCGGGAAAAAUUCCAAUAUGGACGCCAUCGUACUUUUGCAAAGAGAACUUUUUGUACUAGAAUUUUUGUAACUGCGCGCAAUGCGGUUGGUAGAUUCAGUGUUUGUUUCGUAACAGUUUUUUUUAAAUAGUUUUAAAAACCAAUAGCUUUAAUUAAAUCUAUUUAUGAUAGUCGUGAAACUAGAGUCAGUGUUUUUUCGCCAAUUAUAAAUUAUAAAUAUAGUUAAUAGUUUUUUAUUUUUAUUUUUUUUUAAUAUUCGUUUUCGAGAUAGAGUCAGUGCUUUUACAAAAUAGAGUCAGUGUUUUUCAAGAGAAUAAGGCGAUCAUCCAUCACGCGAAGAGUUUCCAUUUCCUGAUGUCCCAUGAGUUAUGACAAAUGCAGAUUCUUCGCAUCAUUGGUGAGUCGCAUGCAUUUAUGUUCCUCUGAUUACUCAAUCAUGUCGUAGGAUGAAAGAUCCGAAUCGACACGAGUAAUUGGUUGUAUACGUAGAUUUUUGCACGAGCACAGUGACCACGGAUAUUUAUUAUAACCAUUUAACCCUUUCC